AGCUGGGCUCGAGGCGUCCAAGACACAAGUGCCUCCACCUCCCAUGCCCCCACGUGAUUACGUUCCAGCAAGAGAGAGAGUCAACCAGUGCCGCGUUGUCCGACUCCCGAGUACCAAGCUUCUCUUCACUUCUUCUAGAUCUGAAAGCGCAUCAAUAGCCAUCUACCACUACCAGAGAGCGAGAGCUUCGGCUUGAAUCGACAAGGAAGCAGGUGAUUUCUUCAUCGCGAAUCCCAUCGAGCAGUACACCUGAGGCGUCACCACACACCGGCUUUGGAGGACCCCCCAUCGAUCUUUCAUCUCGAGGGACCGGUUUCUUCGGCGGGAACCGAUUCGCAGGUAAAUCAACUCGAAUCGUGUCAAAGUUUCGAACUUUCAGCGUCCCGCUUGCUAUGAUUUCUGAUCACAGGCUCCGCCGAGGCAUAUUAGGGUUCCUGGGUUUUUGGGGGGGUUUCUUCGUCGGAGCACACGAGGUCGUCUCUGGAUUUCCAGAUACACCGGAGAAGAGCUGCGAUCUUAUCGAAAGAUAGUGAGUUCCCUUGUCCGUCGUUGGUGAUUUUCGUAGUAGACACUCGUCCUUUCGCGUGGAUGUUCUGACCCCGAGAUCUCCAAAAUUUGCCUCGGUGUCUUUCCGAACCGAGCUGGUCCGGGUUGAGGCGUGAAGGUGUGAAUCCUCCGAUCGUACUGCCUCUCGGGACUCGGACACGACUUGAUCUGCUGCUGCUUCGAGGCAACUUCUUCCUCUCGAACAUCGAAAUCCAUCGCAGUAAUUUCAUCUCUACAUCGCUCCUCGAGGGCGGGAGGAGAAUGUAGCAUUUACAGGAAGUAAGCACGUCUUUGAUAAUGAUAUAAUGGAAGAUUCACAAGCCGGUUAGAGUCACAUUUAUCUGUUUAACAAAAUGGUUUUUAAGUGGAUAUGAAGAGGAGUGGUUAUUCCGUACUCUGGUCAAAAUUGUGUGGCUUGACUUUGGUUUGCCAUCUGAACACAGCUUCAUUGCUACCAGUCAAGCAGCAGUAGAGGGAUACCUGUCCGUCGAUAAUAAUUCUAGACUUAUCGUCUACUACGGUCUCUCUCUCUUUUCUCGCUUUAUCUUUCGCCUUCAGCCUCUCUCUUGACCAUUCGAGACUAUCGUCUACUGAUUAGUCCUCACUCGCUUUCUAUGUUCUUUUCCCUCCUCAAAGUUCUCGCCCAGGCUUGUUCAGGGUCUCCUCUCCCGGAUCUCGCGCCUCUCUUUGCAUCUUAGCUCGCGGAAGUCUAUAGGAGGUGUGGGGUGGCUGCUGAAUUGCAGAGGAGGGUCUUCUAUUCUCUCUUUUGGGGCCGCUGUUACCUGUUAACGAGGUAUGUCCCAAGCUCAGAUUUUGACUUCGGUGAAAGAAGAAAGCCCUUUGUUUUCGACUUUAGAUGUGGCUAAUCCUAUGAUGGCCUUGCUUUUUGAUUGUUAGUUGCAUUUUAAUUUGAUAUUUGAUCUUUUGUUGAACUAGAACGAGCAGGUCUGCAAGCGCGCUAGACUCUAUUGCGCGCAAAAUUGCCACAUUUCGCUUGAAUCCAGAGACCAUUAGUUUUUAUGUGUAGUGAGGUUUCUCUGUGUUUGAAGGUCCUAGAUCAAUUUAUAGAAAAAUAAAACAUAAAAAUAAAAGUAGGCCGCUUCCAGGGUCGACUAGUUUGGUUCUCGGUUACAAAAACGGAGAACCGAUUAUUACGGAAUAAAUUCCCGAUUCUUAGGUUAGAACCUACUCAUCCUAAAACUAAUCAUCUUAAGAGUAAGUCUUCUCUUAAGGAGAUUUCAUUUGACAAUUUUACCUCCAUAUAGAACAUUCCAAAUGAGUAAUCUUCUUAAGAUCUUUUACAUGAUAUCCAAUAGUAAGUAAAAAAAACCUAGUUGAUCUUAUGAUGCACACAUGAAAACAAUCAAAUAAAUCGAGCCAUACACAGAGUAGGAGAUUCACCCAGCUUUAUAUCACUCAUUUCUUUCACCUCUUUUGUUACAAACAAUAAAUUCGUUCUUCAAAACGUGACUAAUCAAUUUAACCUGACUUAUCACAAAUUUAGCCGAUAGUCCUAUUCUACUUCCAUUUAAUUGGAUAAAAAAAUCUUUACGGUGAUAUUCUCAAGGUGGGCCCUCCAACAAAAAUGGGGACAAGCACUCAACGCCAUUGUUUCAAACCUUGGUCGUCUCUGAAUUUUCCUCAGCAGCUUCCUUUUUCUUCCUUUCUUAUCUUCUUCUCCUCCUUACAUCAAAUCAAUACCUAAUUUCUAAUCGUUCAGACUAACAUGGAGAAAGGGCAAAGUCAGAGCAACGCAAACAUAGAGAUGCACCGUCUCAUUUCAGGUCGUUCCUUUGCGGUGCUUCUUGUGUCUCUAUGCUCGUAUUCACUAA